rnacentral:rRNA from 1 species
AGCGAACAUUGGCGGUAGGCUUAACACAUGCAAGUCGAGCGAGGCGUAAUAGUCGAGCGGCGAACGGGUGAGUAAUACAUGGGAGUCUACCCUGAAGUGGGGGAUAACGUUCAGAAAUGAACGCUAAUACCGCAUAAUCCACAUUGGGAAAGCGCGCUGCGCUUUAGGAUGAGCCCAUGGCUGAUUAGCUAGUUGGUGAGGUAACGGCUCACCAAGGCGACGAUCAGUAGCUGGUCUGAGAGGAUGAUCAGCCACACUGGAACUGAGACACGGUCCAGACUCCUACGGGAGGCAGCAGUGGGGAAUCUUGCGCAAUGGGGACAACCCUGACGCAGCCAUACCGCGUGUGUGAUGAAGGUCUUCGGAUUGUAAAGCACUUUCAGUAGGGACGACGAUGACGGUACCUACAGAAGAAGUCACGGCUAACUUCGUGCCAGCCGCCGCCGUAA